rnacentral:rRNA from 2 species
CAGCCGCCGCGGUAAAACCAGCACCUCAGGUGGUCAGGAUGAUUAUUGGGCCUAAAGCAUCCGUAGCCGGCUCUGUAAGUUUUCGGUUAAAUCUGUACGCUCAACGUACAGGCUGCCGGGAAUACUGCAGAGCUAGGGAGUGGGAGAGGUGGACGGUACUCGGUAGGAAGGGGUAAAAUCCUUCGAUCUAUUGAUGACCACCAGUGGCGAAGGCUGCUGACUAGAACACGCCUGACGGUGAGGGACGAAAGCUGGGGUAGCGAAUCGGAUUAGAUACCCGGGUAGUCCCAGCCGUAAACGAUGCAGGCUAGGUGUUGGGUCGGCCACGCGCCGCCUCAGUGCCACAGGGAAGCCAUUAAGCCUGCCGCCUGGGGAGUACGGCCGCAAGGCUGAAACUUAAAGGAAUUGGCGGGGGAGCAC